rnacentral:lncRNA from 1 species
UAGACAUUCAGAAGCAAUAGCACUUACAAUAUCUUUUUGCACUCUUGGUGAUGUUAAUUUCAAAUUCUCAGGUGCAUUUGUCAAAGUUACUGCCUUAAUCUCGGGAUUAUGAUCACACAACCAAUGCAAUAGUUCAAGAAAGUUUCCUUGAUUGUUUGAAUCUUCAGAUUCAUCAUGUCCACGAAAUGCCAUCCCUCGUCGUAGAAGAAAUCGAAC